rnacentral:misc_RNA from 1 species
CGAGUUCUCAAGCCUGGAGGUUACUUUGUUUUAACCUCACCAGUAAGCAAGCCACAUGGGAGCUCCUUGAACUCAAGGAGGAGAAACACAAUGACACUUAUAGAAGAAUUAACUGAAAAAAUAUGUUGGACUUUUCUGGCCCAGCAGGAAGAGACUUUCGUAUGGCAGAAAACUGUUCAUGUCAAUUGCUAUAAAUCUCGUAAGCAGGAUACUCCACCACUAUGCAAUGAUGGUCCUGAUAAUUCACCAUAUUAUCAACCUCUUGUGGCAUGUAUAACUGGAACCACCAGCAAACACUGGAUUCCCAUUCAGAACAAGUCUUCGGGUUUCCAUUUGAGCUCAGCUGAGCUUCAAGUUCAUGGAGUUCAGCCUGAAGAUUUCUUUGAAGACU